AGCUUAUGGUGAGGGCACCUUCUUAACAGAUCCUUGUAUCUCUCCCAUGCAUCGUAGAGUAUUUUUAGAUCCAUCUGUACAAAAGAAGAGAUAUCAUUCCUUAAUUU
rnacentral:snoRNA from 1 species